GCUGGGGUAGCGAAGCGGUCAAACGCAUCUGACUGUAAAUCAGACGGCCCUGUGCCUUCGUAGGUUCGAAUCCUACCCCCAGCA
rnacentral:tRNA from 1 species